rnacentral:rRNA from 1 species
AGCGAACGCUGGCGGCAGGCCUAACACAUGCAAGUCGAACGAAGCCUUCGGGCUUAGUGGCGGACGGGUGAGUAACACGUGGGAACGUACCUUUUGGUUCGGAACAACUCAGGGAAACUUGAGCUAAUACCGGAUGAGCCCUUAGGGGGAAAGAUUUAUCGCCGAAAGAGCGGCCCGCGUUAGAUUAGCUAGUUGGUGAGGUAAAGGCUCACCAAGGCAACGAUCUAUAGCUGGUCUGAGAGGAUGAUCAGCCACACUGGGACUGAGAUACGGCCCAGACUCCUACGGGAGGCAGCAGUGGGGAAUCUUGCGCAAUGGGCGAAAGCCUGGCGCAGCCAUGCCGCGUGAAUGAUGAAGGUCUUAGGAUUGUAAAAUUCUUUUACCAGGGACGAUAAUGACGGUACCUGGAGAAAAAGCCCCGGCUAACUUCGUGCCAGCCGCCGCAGUAAAAC